CACACACACACACACACACACACACACACACACACACACACACACACACACACACACACACACACACACACACACACACACACACACAGAGAGAGAGAGAGAGAGGUGUGUCACAAAACAGGACACCAAAUUAGCAAAUGUUGAUAAGAAUUCAGAUGAACGAAUUUCAUCCUAAUCAGACACACCAAGAAAUCUGACUGCCGAUAGGUUGUUAUCACGGUAGGAGGCCGUUCCCUCUCUUGCCCUGGGGCAGCAGGGUAGCCUAGUGGUUAGAGCGUUGGGCUAGUAACCGAUAGGUUGUUAUCACGGUAGGAGGCCGUUCCCUCUCUUGCCCUGGGGCAGCAGGGUAGCCUAGUGGUUAGAGCGUUGGGCUAGUAACCGAUAGGUUGUUAUCACGGUAGGAGGCUGUUCCCUCUCUUGCCCUGGGGCAGCAGGGUAGCCUAGUGGUUAGAGCGUUGGGCUAGUAACCGAUAGGUUGUUAUCACGGCCGUUCCCUCUCUUGCCCUGGGGCAGCAGGGUAGCCUAGUGGUUAGAGCGUUGGGCUAGUAACCGAUAGGUUGGUAUCACGGUAGGAGGCCGUUCCCUCUCUUGCCCUGGGGCAGCAGGGUAGCCUAGUGGUUAGAGCGUUGGGCUAGUAACCGAUAGGUUGUUAUCACGGUAGGAGGCCGUUCCCUCUCUUGCCCUGGGGCAGCAGGGUAGCCUAGUGGUUAGAGCGUUGGGCUGGUAACCGAUAGGUUGGUAUCACGGUAGGAGGCCGUUCCCUCUCUUGCCCUGGGGCAGCAGGGUAGCCUAGUGGUUAGAGCGUUGGGCUAGUAACCGAUAGGUUGUUAUCACGGUAGGAGGCCGUUCCCUCUCUUGCCCUGGGGCAGCAGGGUAGCCUAGUGGUUAGAGCGUUGGGCUAGUAACCGAUAGGUUGGUAUCACGGUAGGAGGCCGUUCCCUCUCUUGCCCUGGGGCAGCAGGGUAGCCUAGUGGUUAGAGCGUUGGGCUAGUAACCGAUAGGUUGGUAUCACGGUGGGAGGCCGUUCCCUCUCUUGCCCUGGGGCAGCAGGGUAGCCUAGUGGUUAGAGCGUUGGGCUAGUAACCGAUAGGUUGGUAUCACGGUAGGAGGCCGUUCCCUCUCUUGCCCUGGGGCAGCAGGGUAGCCUAGUGGUUAGAGCGUUGGGCUAGUAACCGAUAGGUUGUUAUCACGGUAGGAGGCCGUUCCCUCUCUUGCCCUGGGGCAGCAGGGUAGCCUAGUGGUUAGAGCGUUGGGCUAGUAACCGAUAGGUUGUUAUCACGGUAGGAGGCCGUUCCCUCUCUUGCCCUGGGGCAGCAGGGUAGCCUAGUGGUUAGA